ACGGUAAAUCAGAAACGUUUUCAUUUCUGAACACUGCAUUUGGAGAUUCAAAACAGUACAAGAUGAAGUUGAUGCAAGUCGUCAUUUUGGUUUUGCUACUUUUUGUGCUUAACGCCAUUGCAGCACGAUUGCAAGGAGAACAUGGUUUUAUAAGCCCGGAACACAAUGCAUCGUCUCCUUGGAUUGAUUGGUGGAAAUGUUGUCCUGGAUGGUGAACUAAAGACGCAGCAUAAUCAUAUGUUUGAAAGCACGUCUAAGAGUCUUAAUUUCCAAAUAAAUUUC